GUUAUGCUGACCACAUGAAGCCAUGCACAGUAGAGGCCAAGGGCAGGACGUGCUAAAAAGGGUUAAAAUAAUGCAAGUGGCGCCUUCCACGAAGUCCUUCU
rnacentral:lncRNA from 1 species